UUAUUUUUUAAUAAUUAAUUUUUAUAUAAUUUUUAUAUAAUUAAUAUUUUAGUUAUUUAUAGGAAUAAAUAUUAUAAUAUAAUAAUAUUUUAAUAAUGAUAAAAUAAGUAUUUUAUAUAUAUAAAAUAUAGUAACUCGGCAAAUAUUAUUUUCGCCUGUUUAACAAAAACAUGGUCUUUUGUUUAUAUAAAAGAUCUAACCUGCCCUAUGAUUUAUUUAAAUGGCUGCAGUAUUUUGACUGUACAAAGGUAGCAUAAUCAUUUGUCUUUUAAUUGAAGGCUUGUAUGAAUGGUUGGAUGAAAAAUAUACUUUCUUUAUUUUAUAUAAAAAAUUUAAUUUUCUAGUCAAAAAGCUAGGAUUUUUUUAUAGGACGAGAAGACCCUAUAGAACUUUAUUUUCUUUUUUUAUAAACUUUAUAGAUAAGUAUAAGUUUAUAUAUUUUUGUUAAUUUUGUUGGGGUGAUUGAAAAAAUUUUUUAACUUUUUCUAUUUUUUACAUUUAUAUAUGUUUUUUUGAUCCUUUAUUAUGGAAUAAAAGAUUAAGUUACCUUAGGGAUAACAGCGUUAUUUUUUUGGAGAGUUCUUAUCGAUAAAAAAGUUUGCGACCUCGAUGUUGG
rnacentral:rRNA from 1 species